rnacentral:rRNA from 1 species
AUACGGAGGGUGCAAGCGUUAUUCGGAAUCACUGGGCGUAAAGGACGCGUAGGCGGGUUGGCAAGUCAGAUGUGAAAUCCUACAGCUUAACUGUAGAACUGCAUUUGAAACUGCUAACCUAGAGUAUGGGAGGGGGAGAUGGAAUUAGUGGUGUAGAGGUAAAAUCCGUAGAUAUCACUAGGAAUACCGAAAGCGAAGGCGAUCCCCUGGAACAUAACUGACGCUAAGGCGUGAAAGCGUGGGGAGCAAACAGGAUUAGAAACCCCAGUAGUCC